rnacentral:rRNA from 1 species
UAGUCCACGCCGUAAACGAUGUCGACUUGGAGGUUGUGCCCUUGAGGCGUGGCUUCCGGAGCUAACGCGUUAAGUCGACCGCCUGGGGAGUACGGCCGCAAGGUUAAAACUCAAAUGAAUUGACGGGGGCCCGCACAAGCGGUGGAGCAUGUGGUUUAAUUCGAUGCAACGCGAAGAACCUUACCUGGUCUUGACAUCCACGGAAGUUUUCAGAGAUGAGAAUGUGCCUUCGGGAACCGUGAGACAGGUGCUGCAUGGCUGUCGUCAGCUCGUGUUGUGAAAUGUUGGGUUAAGUCCCGCAACGAGCGCAACCCUUAUCCUCUGUUGCCAGCGGUCCGGCCGGGAACUCAAAGGAGACUGCCAGUGAUAAACUGGAGGAAGGUGGGGAUGACGUCAAGUCAUCAUGGCCCUUACGACCAGGGCUACACACGUGCUACAAUGGCGCAUACAAAGAGAAGCGACCUCGCGAGAGCAAGCGGACCUCAUAAAGUGCGUCGUAGUCCGGAUUGGAGUCUGCAACUCGACUCCAUGAAGUCGGAAUCGCUAGUAAUCGUGGAUCAGAAUGCCACGGUGAAUACGUUCCCGGGCCUUGUACACACCGCCCGUCACACCAUGGGAGUGGGUUGCAAAAGAAGUAGGUAGC